UAUAAUAAAAGGGCCGAAAAAGGGUAUCCAAUGGCAUUUCAGACAUGAGUAGUCAUCAUAACUUCAUACUCUCUCUGUGGCAUUUCACCUGCCAAAGAUCUCCUUGGGACCAGAUUCCAUUCUCAGCUUGUGACCAAGAUAAAGUUACCAUAUAACUAAUCUUUUUGGAAUGGGAAGUCAAGGACCAGAUAAAAUUAAAUGCCUUUGACACUAUCACCCAAGAGACCAGUGCUUCAUUACUGAUGAGAUGAUGUGCAGUCCGUCACAGAGCAAUGUCACUAAUGAGCCUUCUAAACAACCAGAACCACACUUUUUAAUAAGGAUUGGAAAAUGAGAACUACGAUGUCUUGCCUGUUAGAGAAAAAAAGGAGUGUGAGAGAUAUACAAAGUCCUGCCUCAUGUAAAUUGGUAUUUGCCUUUUCAAAUGACAUGUUUGUUAGUCAAGUAUACAAAGAUGUCUUAGGCAGGUACUGGG